rnacentral:lncRNA from 1 species
AAGAGUAUGUGCCAAGAGCUUUUGUCUCUGGUACUGCCUUCUGCAAAGUGUCAGAUGGGUCACUUCACUGGGGGGCUGGGAAUCAGGUCAGUCUGUUCCUCUGAUUAACCCUGAUCUCAUUCUCUUGGCAGCAAGCAGUAGCCAGAGGCCCUGCUGCCUCAGGAGGGCUCUGCCCACUCAUGCCAGUGCUCCCAGGAGCAGGAAGAGCUGAGGAACACACACUGGAGCCAGGCUGUUCUAAGAGCUCUCAGUGCCUUGUCUUACAUUUUCAUCCCUGCUUACCACCAGUGUAUUGGGAGAGAGAUUGCCAAUCGGUGAGGAUGGCCAAAGAUAAACAAUUGAGGAGGAAGGAGUGGGUGAGAAACAGCCCCAGAGAGACUGUGAAUGUGAGGAUAACUUGGAAGUGACCAACAUAGAGACAUUUACUUUGUUUUCACUUUCAGUGCUCUAAGUCUCCUGUGUUCGCCCUCACAGUAAGCUUCGGAGCUGGGGUUGUGGCAAAAAUCUUCUUCAUCAACCAAUCUCUGAUUUCAUCCUGAAGAGAAGAAAGCGAGCAUAUGCCUCAUUCAGCCAAUGCUUCCCUGUAAGUCGUGUGAUCCUGGGCGGACAGAAGGUACAUGGUGCGUUGUCAGUGGCACAGAAAGCCCACCAGGAGCUUCGCACUGUCCACAGCAAUCCAAAUACAACUUGGGCUUGACAUUUGCCAAAGUGCAGAUAAACAAAUGGUGGUCAAAUGGCGCCCCACCUAUUCAGCAGGAUGUCAAAGUGGCUAAGUGGGGUUUCAGUGGUGGAAGAUAGACUCAGCAUAAAUAUUGAGAUGCGAGUCAUUUAUUUGAAGAUACUCUUCUUCCUUUGCAACUCUGCAUCUGUCUUUUAAAAUAAAACCAAGCCUAUAUCUCAUGGAGCACUUAUUUCUUUUAAACAAAUAGUGAAGAAGGAA